GAGUCAUGUUCAUAAAAGUGAAAUGAUUACUCAUUUUAUAACCUACGUAAUUAUAUUAUACUAUAUAUAUAUUAUUAUUAUUAUACCUCAUUAUAUUUUAACAAAACAUUAUCUUUAGUUCUAAUAUGAAUAUUUCAGGUCAUUCAUAAGUAAUACCACUUGUGAACAUUAU
rnacentral:pre_miRNA from 1 species